rnacentral:rRNA from 1 species
UACGUAGGUGGCAAGCGUUGUCCGGAAUUAUUGGGCGUAAAGGAUGCGUAGGUGGUAGUUUAAGUGGGAUGUGAAAGCCACAGGCUUAACCUGUGAAUGGCAUUCCAAACUGGACUACUAGAGUGCAGGAGAGGAAAGUGGAAUUCCUAGUGUAGCGGUGAAAUGCGUAGAGAUUAGGAGGAACACCAGUGGCGAAGGCGACUUUCUGGACUGUAACUGACACUGAUGCAUGAAAGCGUGGGGAGCAAAC